rnacentral:lncRNA from 1 species
AUGGAGCUCCUGAACAGAAACACACAAAAGCCUAGAAUCCAAGGGGACUCGAAGUUUGAGUACUGGAGACUGAAGGAUGUGGGAAAGCCCGCAUUAGAAGAAAAGUUAGGCCCGAGUCAGGAGAGGGGACACGUGAAGCUACAGCACAGCGUAGCAAGUGCAUCACCUGCUCCAGCAGAUAUGGGGAAAGACAGCCCAAGAGAGGUUUGGGGACAGCAGGAAAUCACACUCAAAACUGGGGCUGAAUCUGAAAGUGCAGGGAUGACAGCAGAGUCCAGGGUGGCAUCUGUGUUUGAAGACAGGUUGGAGUCUAGUGGGGACAAUGUGGGGACCAGUGAAGGGGACUUGAGAUCCAGUGGGCAUCAACUGGGGCAGAAUGAAGAGCUGAUGUCCAGUGGGGAGAAGCGUGAGUCCAGUGGAGAGGAGCUGAGAUCCAGUGAACAGAGUCAUGGAUCCAGUGGACAGAGGCGUGGAUCCAGUGGAGAGAAGCUGAGAUCCAGUGGCCAGAAACAUGGAUCCAGUGGACAGAGACGUGGGUCCAGCGGACAGAGGCGUGGGUCCAGCAGGGAGAAGCCGAGAUCCAGUGAACAACGACGAGAGUCCACUGGGGAGAAGCUGAGAUCCAGUGGCCAGAGGCGUGGGUCCAGUGACCAGAGGCAUGGGUCCAGGGGGGAGAAACUGAGAUCCAGUGGCCAGAGGCAUGGAUCUGGUAGCCAGAGGCAUGGGUCCAGUGGAGAGAAGCUGAGUUUGAGUAGUGAGAAACUGAGGCCCAGUGAAGAGAAACUGAGGACUGAUGGAAAAGAUUUGGGAUCCAUUAGAGAUGAAUGGGGGUCAAGUGAUGAAAAACUGGAAUCUAGUGGGGAGAACUUGGAGGAAGAUUCAAGAAUGGGGAACAUAAUGGAAGGCGAAGUUGAAAGAGUGAUGAAAGUUACUGGUGAUGAAAAAGUGCUAGAAGUUGAUGAGAUGGAAAUUUCUUUCGAAAGUACAGAAGGGAGGGGUGAAGAAUUAGAUGUGGUUGAGGAAGCAGAGGAAGUUGACAAGGAUGUCUUGAAUGAAGUGAAAGAUAUUACUAAUGAAUCUGUUUCUGUGGAAGAGAAAGACAUGGUAGGUGAUGGUCCCAGUGGAGGUGGGUGA